GGUAGUGUGGCCGAGAACGAGGCGGCGAGCUGUAGACUCGUCAAGGGGGAAAAAGAAGGGGCCCCCACUACCA
rnacentral:tRNA from 1 species